GCCAAGUUCUUCUGCUGCAGUCAUGCAGUAUGACCUGAGGGCAGUAUUUAGGGGCAACACCAUCAUUCAUUAAAUGCCUCAAUUACUUGAUAUUAAUUAGCUGCCUUAAAGGCAAUUGUGGUAUAUUUAUUUAUGUUACUAUAUGAAUUGUCAGUACAACACAGUGCUGUAACAAAAAGUUGCUUUUGCUGCUUACCGCUUUUAACCUGUUACCAAAAAAAUCCUUUUUUCUUAAUGAAGCUAACAUGGAACAUACAGGAGUUUGUGAAAAGCACACAAAGUGUUAGGGUUUGUUCGCUGUCCACUUUUUCUGGCCAGGAUGACUAUUAGAGUUGAGUUUGUCAGAGGUACUUACGUGAACAUUUGUCUUUUUUGUGGAAAAGAUCCUUGUUUAGUGCUGAUUUAAACUUCUCUAGAAAAAGCAACCUUAUGCAGUGGCCUUCCCCAGCCCCACUUCAAACUCAGGGUAUUUAAGAGUAGUUAAUCUCUUAAAGUAAAUUCAGAAGAAUGUUUUUCCUGACUUUGAUGUUUUAAUUACCUCUCCUAGUUGCCUGUUUCUGGGAGACUGACAUACUGUUGUGACUGUCACAGUGAAAAGUAUGAUUUAUGCUGACAGCUUGUUUUAUCUUUCUAAGAGAUGAAACAACUUAACUUGAAGUAGAGGAAAUAGGUGGCUAGCAGCUAGUUUAGUUCUUCUUGUGUAGCUUCAAGUGUUAAUAUUACUUCGUUUGGAAAUUUUAUGCAAGAACAACUUGAAUUUUGUACACUUUUACUUACAUUUUGAUUUUGUAUACAGUUAUGUAUGCAUAUUACUGAAAAUAAAAAUGGUUGGUUGAUUUGUUUCUAGUCAAGUUAUGCUGGAUAAAUUCGUGGAACAUACUAUGUUGGCACUUCUGUGUUCAGUUCUCUGUUUUACCUGUUCAGCUGGAAUAAUUGUGGACUUUGAAAAGACAAGAAGCUACCCCAUUUCUGGUUUUCAGAAAGUUACUAAAACUAGGUAUGUUGAUACUUGGAAUUAUGAUUGGCUACAGAUACUCGUCCUAGAUAUUAUUACAACAGCAUAUAUGCCAAUUUUGCUUACAGUAUUGCAACAUGAAUCUGAUGCAUUUGGGUAGCUCUGAAUUUGUUGGAUGUAUGCUAUAUGGGAUGUGCAUAUUGAUUUCUGCCAGGGAGACAAUAGCUGUGGUAAAGGGUGGUAAUUUUUGUUGCAUGGGGAUGCAAACUCCAUUUAGAGAUAAAAAUGGAAGCCCUUGAUGUCUUAUACAUCGUGACAUUAUUUCUCAUCUGAGCAAAUCUUAUCUUUUACCUGAAAUUUGUAAUUGAAUUUACUUUUGGAUAGAAGUAUUUAAGGCAAAUGUAGACAAAAUACCAUUUUUGAGUAAUGCUAGUGCAAAGCUUCUGAAGGAUGUUCUUCUGUAGCCUUCAAGGCAGAUGUAAAAUGAUUUAUGCCUGCCUUCUGCUAUUGUUGUUACCUAGUUCAAGAGGGGGUUUUGUUUUGUUUGGACCAAUCUUCAAACAUGUUUCCUGUUGUGUUUUCCAGCAAGCUGAACAUGGAGAAAAGGUUCAAAAGUGCACCCUUUAUUAAUAAUUACAAGUGCGUGCUGUGUAGUGAAUGUGUUUUGUUUUCUGUCAAGGAAAUCUUGGAAGCCUUCAAGUGGAGAGACAAAGUGGAUAAAUAAGGAGGAAGGCAAUUGCCAAUAGGAGAUACAUCUAAGGAAUAAACAGCUUUGGGAGCUUGUCAAAUUAAGGUUUGCCUUCACCAAUGCCUUGCAGGGCGCCCAGGUUGCCCCUGGACCUAGGGGCCACAGCCUGAAACCCAGUGAAUGUUGCAGAAAGAUGAAAGGAAGUGAAAUUACUUACCAGCUACCAGCGUUCUCCUUCACUCACAAAUUCUUCAAGUCCAGGUACUAAGGUGUUUUCCUUAUUUGACUCUUGGUGUCAUUGCUUUCUGGCAGUUAGUAGUGGAGGAAAAAGGGAUUUCCAGAUACUGUUGGCAAUACCAUGAGCAAAUUUGUAGUACUUCAUGGGGCAGGAAACAGAGCUGCUUUGACCAAUUUAGUGUGUGCUAUUUGCAUAAUGCCAUAUUGCUUCAUUACCUCUGUCCAUUCUUGGCAAGGCUGAGGUGGCACCUCAUGUUCUAGUAUCUGAGCAAUUCUUACCAUCUGGUAAAUUUGUCGGUAAAGAGCCCCAUUACCAUCUGAUGCAAGUGGAAGUUUUGCUAUACUCUUGUUGACCAAUUUUUAGCGUAGCCUGAAGGGAAAUUGUUCCAUUACCCAGAUGCACACAAAUGUGUGAUAAAGAAAACAAGCUGAGUAGUAAUUGUCAUUUGAAGUGACCUAAAUUAAUGUCCUAAUUCCAGCAGUUACUCAAACCUGUGCAGACAGGAACCUCAGGAAGAGAGGGGAGGAUGAUGGGGCUGCAAUUAAAUCUUUGGGGCACAGACAGUUCUUUGUCUUUGCACUGAAAUCCUGUGGGAAUGUGCUAACUACAUAGCAGUGAUCACACUGAAAGCAAAACCUGGAGAGUGGACAGUGGGUGGUAGCUAACCAGAAAACUCCAGUUUCAUAGAAAUCCAAGUUGUGUUUUGCUUUUUGAUCUGAGUCUAAUACUGUGUUGAAGAAGGGUAUGUGGAGUUCCAUGUUAAAAUGUGAAUGAACUUCCCCGAUAUUCUGGUAUUUAUUACAGUUUAUCUGUGUUGGAGGUGAGCUGGCCUUGUGAUGUUUCUGUUUUGUGUCUAUGUUCUACAGAAGCACAUGGAGAGUGACCGACCCCUGCCUAGCAGAUUUGACCUUGGAGUGCCAAAUGUGCUGCGUGUGGGAAGAGUCCUGAGAAACUCCAAAGGACAGCGCUUGGUGGUCCUGCAGCAUCUAGUUAGGGUGGAACACUGAGAACUUCAGAAGACUCACCUGGAGGCUUUCGGGAAGGGGAGCAGGGCCUGAUAAUGUUUACAGUUUACACACCUUUUGUUAUAUGUUUUUUUCCAUUCAUGGGGUUGGAUUAAAAUUGUAAGAGCUUUUGAACUCAUUUGCUGGGAGGAGCUUGCUCUUUGCAGGGACAGUUUGGUGGUACAGUUGUGACAGCAAAUCCUCCUUAGUGCAGACAGUUCUGCAGUGGAGGGGGAAAAAGGCAACUGAAGCUUCUUACAUUCUGCUUUCCUCAGAGGUCUUGAUGAAGUCUGGUGGUAAAGCAUCUGUCAGCUUUGUAAAUGUGACUGAUUUGUAUUUAUGGCAGUUUACCUUUCCUGAGGUAACUAAGGCAGUGAUCUGUGAAGGCCUCGAUGCUUUUCCUUUUAACUGGGUUUAUAUCUUAUAUACACACAUGUUGCAUCUCUUCAUCUGCUAUAAAAACAUUUUUUUUUGCUCAGGGUGACUUUAAUACUGUCAUGUGCUGGGUUGUCUCCAAAGCACCUACUUUAAGACCUGAAGUAAAAGAGGAAUGGCUGAUAGGAUCCAGAAAACCCAUACUUCUGGAUUUCUCCUUACAUCUCUGGUUGCUGGGUUGAUGUGACACAUGUGUAACAGGCGUCUGCUGAUGCACCCUAUUCUGGAGAGCCAGGUCUUGCCCUGAGGUCUCUUAUGCAGACAGGGUAGACCUGCCAAGGCUUGGUGCCCCUCCAGCUAGAGUUCAUUCACGAGUUCCCAGAAACGUGUUCUCGUGAGGAACAUGUUCUUUGUGUUUCCAGUGGGAAGCUGGCUACAGCCUAUUUAUGUAUUUUAGCUUACACGACAUGUGGCUAAAAACAGAUAACCCAGAAAAACAGCAUCAUAGUUGCUAGGCUGUAGCUAUUUUGUUUGAUCUUUUGGCUCCAUAAAUCUCACAUUCUUGACAACAAUCUUAACAGGAAACUCGCUGACUCAGGCUCUCUUGGGAGAUGGGCAAUAGCAUAACCUUGGGGUGGGGAAGGGCUGAGGCCUGGGCUUUUGACAUCCUAAGGACAGAUACUGAUUAGAAGACUUCUGUUAACAACAUGAGAAGUAUCACCUCCUUGUCUCACAACCCUGUUAUAGCGAAUAACUGAGCAGCCAGGGGCUCACCUUAGGGAGAUUUUGGUGAGCUCAGAGCCUCAGUGGAAGUGCUAGUGUAUGGGCACAAGUAUUUAACCUGAAAUAAUGUUGCUUCCCUUCAAAAUGGCUUUAUUUGAUUACUUAAGAUGGUGUCGAUUUAUUACAUGGUAAAGCUGGUAGUACUUGGAAAAUCAAGGUGCACAAUGCUGCACAAUGCUGGGGCUUUCUUAGCCUGAGUAACUGCUUGUGACUUAAUUUUGGAUUAUAAGCCAGCUUGCAAAAUUCUGUUCCCAGUUAGAGUGGUUUUCUUUGAGAAUACACUAUGUCAGUAAUUCCACUUUGCCAUGUCACUUACAGAGUCACUGCUGUGUAACCACACCACAUUAACAGGAAGCACAGAAGUUUCAGUUCACCUGAUCUGACUAUUUGCAAGACAGAGUUGGAUAUAUGUAGGUCACUAUACAAAGUGGCAGUCUCACCAAGCAUGUGUGAUUUCACACUCUGAAUUCAAAGUACUAGCCAUUUGGUGGAAGGGCUAAUAGCGGUAUGUUUGGUGGUGUGAGGCUGUGUACACCAAGGUGAUCUGAAUUCUCUUUUCUCCUGUCUGCAUAAACUAAAUUAUGGCUCCUGUCAGCAAGUCUUAUUAAACAUAGAAGCAAGGCUUAUGUUUUACUGACAUUGGCAGCAGUUGUCUCCAGAGGCAGGACUACUGGACUAACAUCUAUUGCACUUCCAUUAAUGCUUCUUUUUUAGUGAAUCACUGAAUCCUCCUGGCACUGCAAUGAAAGUUACUACUUCAGUGGUCCUGGGGUAGCAGUAAUAAUGUUGGUAGAAGCUGUAUAGUGUUGUCUCAACGUGUCUCUGGAUGUCUUUCUCUUGGGUGUCUGCUACAUGAAUGUUCCUGAGGUGAGAAUGAAGUUAUUUAUACCAAA